rnacentral:snoRNA from 1 species
AAGAUCAUACUUCACAGGAUCAUUUCUGUAGUAUAUCUUGACUUGUUUCCCACCAGAAACAUUUCUCCAAUCAACCCGCGAUGACGAGUAAUGACGCUGGCUUCUGAGAGUGAAACAGGUUGCGAUCGUAGCCACUUGCGUGGUAUCUGCUCGUAGCCAUUGAGGACCGUUUCCGGUGUUCCCUUGUUGGCACACUGGAAGGAAACCGGCGUUUUCAGAGCGGU